rnacentral:rRNA from 1 species
AUCAUGGAUCAGGCUGGAACACCUCCUUAGAGUUUGAUCAUGGCUCACGGUGGAACACCUACUUAAAGUUUGAUCAUCUGUCUGUAAGACUGGCAUAACUACGGGAAACCGGAGCUAAUACCGGAUAGUUCCUUGAACCGCAUGGUUCAAGGAUGAAAGACGGUUUCGGCUGUCACUUACAGAUGGACCCGCGGCGCAUUAGCUAGUUGGUGGGGUAAUGGCUCACCAAGGCGACGAUGCGUAGCCGACCUGAGAGGGUGAUCGGCCACACUGGGACUGAGACACGGCCCAGACUCCUACGGGAGGCAGCAGUAGGGAAUCUUCCGCAAUGGACGAAAGUCUGACGGAGCAACGCCGCGUGAGUGAUGAAGGUUUUCGGAUCGUAAAGCUCUGUUGUUAGGGAAGAACAAGUGCGAGAGUAACUGCUCGCACCUUGACGGUACCUAACCAGAAAGCCACGGCUAACUACGUGCCAGCAGCCGCGGUAAUACGUAGGUGGCAAGCGUUGUCCGGAAUUAUUGGGCGUAAAGGGCUCGCAGGCGGUUUCUUAAGUCUGAUGUGAAAGCCCCCGGCUCAACCGGGGAGGGUCAUUGGAAACUGGGAAACUUGAGUGCAGAAGAGGAGAGUGGAAUUCCACGUGUAGCGGUGAAAUGCGUAGAGAUGUGGAGGAACACCAGUGGCGAAGGCGACUCUCUGGUCUGUAACUGACGCUGAGGAGCGAAAGCGUGGGGAGCGAACAGGAUUAGAUACCCUGGUAGUCCACGCCGUAAACGAUGAGUGCUAAGUGUUAGGGGGUUUCCGCCCCUUAGUGCUGCAGCUAACGCAUUAAGCACUCCGCCUGGGGAGUACGGUCGCAAGACUGAAACUCAAAGGAAUUGACGGGGGCCCGCACAAGCGGUGGAGCAUGUGGUUUAAUUCGAAGCAACGCGAAGAACCUUACCAGGUCUUGACAUCCUUCUGACAACCCUAGAGAUAGGGCUUUCCCUUCGGGGACAGAGUGACAGGUGGUGCAUGUUUGUCGUCAGCUCGUGUCGGGNAGAUGUUGGGUUAAGUCCNGCAACGAGCGCAACCCUUUGAUCUUAAGUUGCCAGCAUUCAGUUGGGCNNUCCUAAGGUGACUGCCGGUUGACAAACCCGG